GUCUAGCGAACAGACGUAAAAAUGGGAAACGCCUCCUAAAUAUAUUGUACAAACUUGCAAUGCUGGAAUUCCCCACCUGUGGUGCAGGCAGGUGUGGAGUUUCAGGUGCAAGGGA
rnacentral:ncRNA from 1 species